UCCUUGCAAACGCAGUGCAAGUGUACAGAACGGUACGGUGUCUAGCUGUCUUUUCGCAGUACGUGCAAUGAGGUUAUCUAUUUUUCAGGCAGAGAAGUGCGUCCAGGCAGUUUGGAGAACUGCUGGCUCAGGCUUCACCUCCACUAAUCCAAGUUCAGUCACUUUCCUCUGAAGAACCUGCAUCAAGCCGUGGUUUUAAGCUGCAGAUGGAGUUCUUCUCGCAGGACUGAAGUGCUGAAGCUCUCUGAGCUCCGAAGGCACCCUGAACUCAUGAGGCUUUUUCUUGGUUGGCAACGUGCUUAAAAAAGAAAGAAAUGCAAAUGGGCAUUUCCACGUGACUGUAUUCUGCUCAGUGCAGUGUCUGCCUGUGUUGCAGACUGAGCUCCGUGGCAUUGCAAAGAAUGCACCAAAGUAAGUAGUGCAGGAGAGCAUUUUUUCCAGUUAGAAUGUUGGCCUUCCAAAGCAGGCCUGCCUUGGUUGCACUGGCUUGCAUCUCAGCUGGUGUUCUGUUGUCAGGGUUCCCGUAUUUCUAGCGGUUGUCAGGGCGGUGGCUCAUGACAUCGUAAGGCCGUGGCGAUGUGACGGUAAGAAUGUCCCAUGUCAAGUACAAGAUGGCUGUGUGGGACGAGGGGAAGCCAUGGCCUGACAGCUGCCCUUCUGGUCAGCAGUGGAAUUCUGCGGGGUCCAUUAGAAGGCCAUUUCUCUGUAAUGCUUUCUCUGUUGGUUCCAGUCAAGAUGUGGCCGUUGUAUGAAGUAAGUUUGUGGUUGCUGUGAAGCUGGGAGGAAUGUUGACUGCCUUGGGGGUUGAGAGGCCUUGCAGCAAGAUGUGGAGAAAUGUGAGGGUGGUCCCCAUCUGCACGAAGAAGAGCAAGCGCUGCGUUCUGCACCUGGGAUGCGGCAGCCCUGGCUGGUCAGACAUAAAUGUUAUUAUCUGCUUUAGAGAAAGAAGUGGGAGGCUGAACUGAUAUUUGGAAAAAUGAAAAAUGUUUAAAAUGUUUUUUGCAAGAUAAGCCCUCAGCAAACAGUCGUCCUGUUCCACUUUUGGCCAGUCUCAGAUGCUUGUCUUCCAGAAUGUCUGCGUGUGGAUGAAUCACAACAGGAUCCUGGGAACUUUUAAGAAAGGAAAGAUUGCUUCACGUGUAAUGAAAAGCUAGUGUCCAGAAGAUCACUGCGGCCAGAUGCCAAUUUUGAUGCCCUCGUCAGUAAGACUUGUCCAAGCCCUGAUGUAUGUGAAACUCAUCAGGAGGGAAUGCUGGCAAGAAUCAGCUAACACAGUAGCAGCAAGCUUUCAGUGACAGCGUUAAGGAA